rnacentral:lncRNA from 1 species
UCCUCCAAUAUAUCACUCAGUAUAUUAUAUAACGUAGUAUCGAUCAAUUAUCAUUGAAUUAUAUAAUGAUAAGUAAUAACACAGAAGAACCAUCCCGAAUCUCUCUAAUCUAGAGAAUUACCUAGCUUUUAUUGCUUCUAGGAUCUCCAAUGAGUGGAGUCAUACUCUUCAAGCCUUGGUGGAAUCGGUUCUGUUUGUAUUUUGAAGACCUUAUUACAAGCCAAUCUGAAGGGCAGAGUUCUUCGCCGUACUUUUCACGGAUAAUACAAUCCACCAUUCUAACAACGAGAGCCACUUUUGAGGAAAAAUAAAACAAAUGGAAUGAGGUCUUGAUGUUUCCUUUCAUUGAAUUCAUUUCUUCCUCUCAUGAUAAAUAAGAGCAAUGUUAGUUUAAAGGGAUCCCUAAAUGCUCCAAAAGUAGGCCUUAAUCGAUGGAUAUUGCUCUUCUGAGUGGAUAGAACUAAGUUAUUGCUUAGAAAUUCAGGCAUUUUUAAAUUAAAUUAAUCAAAAUUUUUAAAUAUAUUUAAUAAAUAAAGUCUUACACUGAAUAAGGGUAUCUACAUUUACCCUUUUUAUCACAAUUCUAUUACUGUGUGAAACUUGCCUGAAUAUUUCAUUAGAAUAUGCAAUAAAUAUUUUGACAUUGAAUUAGAAAACCUAAAGAUAAAAAAGAAGUGAGAUGCAAAUUUUUAUUAGUUCCAUAAAAAAAAGGCAGCACAUUUUUUUGUUAUCUAUGAUUAAACAAAUAAAUUUCAUUCAAAUAUUAUUUUAAACGAAUCAGGAAUUUAAUUUAUUUUUUUGAUAAUGUAUAUGAAUGCACUUGGAGAGUUUACCUUGUUAUUUUUGUUGCAUUUGUAUAUUUAAUUAAAAUUUCCACGUUUUUUCUGUUAAUGAGUUAACUUGAAGUGUUUAUAAAAUAUCUAUGUACAUUGUUAUUAUUGAUUAGCCAUAAUUGUAAAUAAAAUUGGUAGAGG